rnacentral:tRNA from 1 species
GCCAGGAUAGCUCAGUUGGAUAGAGCACAUCAUUGGUAAUGAUGAGGUCGUGGGUUCAAUCCCCACUCCUGGCU